AUUGAACGCUGGCGGCAUGCCUUACACAUGCAAGUCGAGCGGCAGCGCGGGGGCAACCCUGGCGGCGAGCGGCGGACGGGUGAGUAAUACAUCGGAACGUGUCCUGUUGUGGGGAUAACCAGUCGAAAGACUGGCUAAUACCGCAUGAGAUCGAAAAGAUGAAAGCGGGGGACCGCAAGGCCUCGCGCGAUUGGAGCGGCCGAUGCCGGAUUAGCUAGUGGCGGGGUAAAGCCCACCAAGGCUACGACCCGUAGCUGGUUUGAGAGAACGACCAGCCACACUGGGACUGAGACACGGCCCAGACUCCUACGGGAGGCAGCAGUGGGGAAUUUUGGACAAUGGGCGCAAGCCUGAUCCAGCCAUGCCGCGUGUGUGAAGAAGGCC
rnacentral:rRNA from 1 species